GAGGAGGGGGGGAAGAAUGCAGAGUGAACAUAGGUUGCCGAGUACGGCAGAAGGAGAGGAAGCGGGUAAAAACCAAACCAAAACAAAACAAACUAACAAAAAACCACAGCUCGCUGCUGUCAACCGGCGAGAGGGGAAAAGAAGGUGGAAGAAAAAUUAAACGUGGAAUGAAGUUAGGCUUGAAGUGAGGCCAAACCCAGCGGUCGCCUGCUUCCUGUGCGAUUUUGCUUUGAGUUGCAUGGACGAGACGCUUUUUAAGUUGUCUUUCUGCCCCACGCUGAUCUCCUCGGCUCCCGCCUUCCACUGCAGCAGCUGCCCGUCCUCUCCGCCUGUCAGCAAGGCCCCACCCACCGCGUCCCACUGGAAACACCUCACCGUGGAAGAAUGGCCGCCACUCAGUGACUUCAUCAGCUUCGGUUCGCCGCCACUGCAGUCCAGCAGCCGGAGCUCUCCGCUAUGGGAUCCGCCCACCACGACCAGGCGACCUGCUUCUUCCAGCCACGUUCCGCCUACAAAGUAGUCCAGAGAAGUUCCAUCGGGUAAAGAGAUGAGGGUUCGAGCGUCGGACGAACCGAAGAGCGUGAACGAGUCGUCGCUGUCCAGCCGAGACAAAUCCCACAGAUGGAGGCCUUCGUCGUGAGUGAGACACAGCAGCUGGUCCUGAUAUUUACCUAAAAAUAAAAAAAUCUAGUUUGGUGAAUGCUUC